rnacentral:rRNA from 1 species
UACGUAGGGUGCGAGCGUUGCUCGGAAUCACUGGGCGUAAAGCGCACGUAGGCGGAUUGUUAAGUCAGGGGUGAAAUCCUGGAGCUCAACUCCAGAACUGCCUUUGAUACUGGCGAUCUCGAGUCCGGGAGAGGUGAGUGGAACUGCGAGUGUAGAGGUGAAAAUUCGUAGAUAUUCGCAAAGAACACCAGUGGCGAAGGCGGCUCACUGGCCCGGUACUGACGCUGAGGUGCGAAAAGCG